rnacentral:rRNA from 1 species
AAUCAACGCUGGCGGCGUGCUUCAGACAUGCAAGUCGAACGAAAAAGUUCCCUUCGGGGAAUGAGUAAAGUGGCGCACGGGUGAGUAACACGUAAGUAAUCUACCUUUGGGUGGGGAAUAACUCAGGGAAACUUGAGCUAAUACCGCAUAAUGCAGCGGCUCGUAAUCGAGACAGUUGUUAAAGAAUUUAUUCGCCUAAAGAGGAGCUUGCGGCAGAUUAGCUAGUUGGUAAGGUAAUGGCUUACCAAGGCAACGAUCUGCAGCCGACCUGAGAGGGUGGUCGGUCACACUGACACUGAAUAACGGGUCAGACUCCUACGGGAGGCAGCAGUCGGGAAUUUUGUGCAAUGGGGGAAACCCUGACACAGCAACGCCGCGUGAAGGACGAAGUCUUUCGGGAUGUAAACUUCGCAAAUAUAGGAAGAAUCAAUGACGGUACUAUAUGUAAGCUCCGGCUAACUACGUGCCAGCAGCCGCGGUAAUACGUAGGGGGCAAGCGUUGUUCGGAUUUACUGGGCGUAAAGGGCGCGUAGGCGGCGUGACAAGUCACUUGUGAAAUCUCCAGGCUUAACCUGGAACGGCCAAGUGAUACUG